rnacentral:rRNA from 1 species
AAGCAGUGGGAGCACAGGUUUACCUGUGUGACUGCGUACCUUUUGUAUAAUGGGUCAGCGACUUAUAUUCUGUAGCAAGGUUAACCGAAUAGGGGAGCCGGAGGGAAACCGAGUCUUAAUUGGGCGUUAAGUUGCAGGGUAUAGACCCGAAACCCGGUGAUCUAGCCAUGGGCAGGUUGAAGGUUGGGUAACACUAACUGGAGGACCGAACCGACUAAUGUUGAAAAAUUAGCGGAUGACCUGUGGCUGGGGGUGAAAGGCCAAUCAAACCGGGAGAUAGCUGGUUCUCCCCGAAAGCUAUUUAGGUAGCGCCUCGUGAAUUCAUCUCCGGGGGUAGAGCACUGUUUCGGCUAGGGGGCCAUCCCGGCUUACCAACCCGAUGCAAACUGCGAAUACCGGAGAAUGUUAUCACGGGAGACACACGGCGGGUGCUAACGUCCGUCGUGAAGAGGGAAACAACCCAGACCGCCAGCUAAGGUCCCAAAGUCAUGGUUAAGUGGGAAACGAUGUGGGAAGGCCCAGACAGCCAGGAUGUUGGCUUAGAAGCAGCCAUCAUUUAAAGAAAGCGUAAUAGCUCACUGGUCGAGUCGGCCUGCGCGGAAGAUGUAACGGGGCUAAACCAUGCACCGAAGCUGCGGCAGCGACACUGUGUGUUGUUGGGUAGGGGAGCGUUCUGUAAGCCUGCGAAGGUGGCCUGUGAGGGUUGCUGGAGGUAUCAGAAGUGCGAAUGCUGACAUAAGUAACGAUAAAGCGGGUGAAAAGCCCGCUCGCCGGAAGACCAAGGGUUCCUGUCCAACGUUAAUCGGGGCAGGGUGAGUCGACCCCUAAGGCGAGGCCGAAAGGCGUAGUCGAUGGGAAACGGGUUAAUAUUCCCGUACUUGGUGUUACUGCGAAGGGGGGACGGAGAAGGCUAUGUUGGCCGGGCGACGGUUGUCCCGGUUUAAGCGUGUAGGUGUGUGUUCCAGGUAAAUCCGGUUCACUUUAACACUGAGGCGUGACGACGAGGCACUACGGUGCUGAAGCAACAAAUGCCCUGCUUCCAGGAAAAGCCUCUAAGCAUCAGGUAACAUCAAAUCGUACCCCAAACCGACACAGGUGGUCAGGUAGAGAAUACCAAGGCGCUUGAGAGAACUCGGGUGAAGGAACUAGGCAAAAUGGUGCCGUAACUUCGGGAGAAGGCACGCUGACACGUAGGUGAAGUGAUUUACUCAUGGAGCUGAAGUCAGUCGAAGAUACCAGCUGGCUGCAACUGUUUAUUAAAAACACAGCACUGUGCAAACACGAAAGUGGACGUAUACGGUGUGACGCCUGCCCGGUGCCGGAAGGUUAAUUGAUGGGGUCAGCGCAAGCGAAGCUCCUGAUCGAAGCCCCGGUAAACGGCGGCCGUAACUAUAACGGUCCUAAGGUAGCGAAAUUCCUUGUCGGGUAAGUUCCGACCUGCACGAAUGGCGUAAUGAUGGCCAGGCUGUCUCCACCCGAGACUCAGUGAAAUUGAACUCGCUGUGAAGAUGCAGUGUACCCGCGGCAAGACGGAAAGACCCCGUGAACCUUUACUAUAGCUUGACACUGAACAUUGAGCCUUGAUGUGUAGGAUAGGUGGGAGGCUUUGAAGUGUGGACGCCAGUCUGCAUGGAGCCGACCUUGAAAUACCACCCUUUAAUGUUUGAUGUUCUAACGUGGACCCGUUACCCGGGUUGCGGACAGUGUCUGGUGGGUAGUUUGACUGGGGCGGUCUCCUCCUAAAGAGUAACGGAGGAGCACGAAGGUUGGCUAAUCCUGGUCGGACAUCAGGAGGUUAGUGCAAUGGCAUAAGCCAGCUUGACUGCGAGCGUGACGGCGCGAGCAGGUGCGAAAGCAGGUCAUAGUGAUCCGGUGGUUCUGAAUGGAAGGGCCAUCGCUCAACGGAUAAAAGGUACUCCGGGGAUAACAGGCUGAUACCGCCCAAGAGUUCAUAUCGACGGCGGUGUUUGGCACCUCGAUGUCGGCUCAUCACAUCCUGGGGCUGAAGUAGGUCCCAAGGGUAUGGCUGUUCGCCAUUUAAAGUGGUACGCGAGCUGGGUUUAGAACGUCGUGAGACAGUUCGGUCCCUAUCUGCCGUGGGCGCUGGAGAACUGAGGGGGGCUGCUCCUAGUACGAGAGGACCGGAGUGGACGCAUCACUGGUGUUCGGGUUGUCAUGCCAAUGGCACUGCCCGGUAGCUAAAUGCGGAAGAGAUAAGUGCUGAAAGCAUCUAAGCACGAAACUUGCCCCGAG